CCGGCCGCAAAGGCAGCGAGUUUGCUUGUGCCCGAUGCAGUGCCGUAUACGUUGCUUUCAACGUGCAUGCACCUACGUCCCUGAAAGGAUUUAGGUGCGGUUAGACAACGAUGACGGCAACGAUUAAUAAUUUCGAGAUGAAAGGACAGUUUCUUUUUACAUCUUACUGUCGAACUAAUAAUGUAAUAAGUAAUGCAAGCUGUGAAAUUUGAUGACAAUUGUUGGUCUCAUCGCAGAGGUCUAUGUUUUAUUUGAAAAUUUCUGUAAAAUUGAUUGUAUGGGAAUUUAAGAAGCUUCUGUGUACCUUAAAUAAAAAAAUUAAUUAGGCGAAUAUUAGAUGUUAUAUUGCAAAACAUGGACGUUUCUGUAUAUAUGUACGUGAAAAAUUAUAAUUUAUAAAAUAUAUAUAAUGGAGAAAA